GGAGGCCAUUGUGUCACAAUGGAAUCUGAUGGAAGGAAAUGUCCAUUGUGACACAGGAGGGCCUUGUGGCACCCAGGAGACCAUUGUGAUACAAUGCAAUCUCUGGGAAUCAAGAGUCAACUGCAAACACAACAGGACUAACCUCAACUACCAGCCCCUGGAGCACUCCAGUUUUCCUAGUUAAAAAGCCAAACAGUGGGAAAUGGAGGUUAUUGCAGGAUCUCAGAAACGUUAACAAAGUGAUUCAAGAAACGGGUUCUUUACAAUAAGGUUUACCUUCUCCCAUUAUGAUUUCAAAGGAUUGAAAGUUAACUGUUAUUGGUUUAAAAGACUGUUUUUUUCAAUAUUCAUUUGCAUCCAGAUGAUGCACAAAGAUUUGCCUUUUUCAUGCCAUUAAUAAAUCAGCAGGCCCCUUUAAAAAGAUACCAUUGGCUCCUACUUCCUCAAGUUUUAGGGGAGUGUCCACAGCUUCACGGUCUAAUAUUCCAGUGGGAUCCAGAGAAGAAGGACCAUCUGAUAAUCUUAGAACGUGUUUUCCUAUCUCGUGAGCUGGGUGUAGUGGAGAGAGCAGAAGAAUCUGCUAAAAGAGAUUUCCAAUGACCAGCUAGCUAUACGGUUUGCUCAAGAAAUUAAUCUUCCUUUUUUCUAUUCGACAGGAACCUUACUUCGUAAUACACAUUCAUUCACAUCCUGCAUCCCAGGUUUCCUUGCAGAAGGCAAUGCCAUGGCUGAGUUUUUAGCCAUGCUAAUACAGAAUACACUUCCCAAUAUUAUUGAACAAGCCAGAAUGAGCCAUGCUUUCUAUCAUCAAAAUGCACCUGCCUUAGUAAGAACAUUUAACAUCUCUUAGAAUCAGGCUAAAAUGAUUGUUCAAUCAUGUCCAGAUUGCCAAAAUUGCCAUACCAGCAAUAGCAACAGGGGUUAACCCUCAAGGCUUAAAUAGCCUGCAGAUAUGGCAAACUGACAUAACUGAAUAUCAGUCAUUUGCAUGGUUCAAACAUGCAUACUUAUCAAUAGAUACAUUCUCAAGAGCAAUUUUUGCUUCUGCAAGGAGAAAAGAGUAGAGAUGUAAUUAAACAUUUCUUACAAGCAUUUGCAUCCCUAGGCAUUCCUCAAGAAUGGAGCAGCCUACAUUUCUAAUAAACUACAGUUUUUCAAAAUCUGGGCUAUCAAACACACUACAGGUAUUCCACAUUCUUCCACAGGCCGAUCUAUUGUAGAAAGAGCACACAGAUCACUGAAAAUGAUGCUUGAAAGGCAAAAGGGAGGGACGGAAGUGUCAUCUACCACAAAGAGGCUGAAUAAAGCUAUAUAUGUUUUUAA